CUGUACGAAAACAUGGACUUAGUCAACCGUGAUCUGAAAAUAAAGGAAAAUGAAUAUUGAUAAUUUCAUUAAAAUAAACACAAAUCAUUUAAAAGUGACCAGAAAAUAGCGAAAUAGUAGAUAUAUGUAUAUAUAGAAUAUGGAAUAAUAUAUUAGUUAUUAUAAAAAGUACCUAAUGUGAAUGUGAAGUGAAAUUGUGAUAUGAAAAGAGUCUAGUGAAAAAAUAGUGUGUUUUAGCGUUAUACCAUAUAUGGGAAAUAUGCCAUCAAAAUGAAUGUCAACGUUUGUCCCCAUUUGUAGACAUGCUGCAGGGAAGUUAUAAAUAACAUGUGACUGGAUUUUCAUUUUUCUGCUGGCAGCAACGUUGGUGGUGUGAGCCGGGCGCAUGUGGCGACAAGCAGCGUAAUUGAAGAUGUGACGAAAAUGAGCUACAAAUUGGGCACCGGCAACACUCUACUCUAUCCUCCUAAGUACCUGAUAGAAGAGCAGCAAUUUGGAUACCGAAAUACAGCACGUUGGUGGACUGGACAUUUUUUAUUAUUAACUAGUACUAUUACACUUUC